GUUACUAUACUUUAUGAAAGAAGAUUUGGUUUGCAACUAAACAGAGGGGUUUCCCCUAGUACCA
rnacentral:tRNA from 1 species